UACGUAGGGUGCAAGCGUUAAUCGGAAUUACUGGGCGUAAAGCGUGCGCAGGCGGCUUUGCAAGACAGAUGUGAAAUCCCCGGGCUUAACCUGGGAACUGCAUUUGUGACUGCAUGGCUGGAGUGCGGCAGAGGGGGAUGGAAUUCCGCGUGUAGCAGUGAAAUGCGUAGAUAUCGGGAGGAAUACCGAUGGCGAAGGCAGGUCUCUGGGCUGACACUGACGCUCAUGCACGAAAGCGUGGGGAGCAAACAGG
rnacentral:rRNA from 1 species